UUCUGGGUUUGACAGCACACAGACUAAAAUGGGGUGAUACAGAGAAGACUAGCGUGGCCUCUGAGUCAGGGUGACAUGCAAAUUAGUGACUGACAUGCUCCUUAUUUUU